rnacentral:rRNA from 1 species
GACGAACGCUGGCGGCGUGCUUAACACAUGCAAGUCGAACGGAAAGGCCCUGAUUUUGUGGGGUGCUCGAGGGGCGAACGGGGGAGUAACACGUGAGUAACCUGCUCUUGACUUUGGGAUAACUUCAGGAAGCUGGGGCUAAUACCGGAUAGGAGCUCCUGCUGCGUGGUGGGCGGUGGAAAGUUUCGGCGGUUGGGGAUGGACUCGCGGCUUAUCAGCUUGUUGGUGGGGUAGUGGCUUACCAAGGCUUUGACGGGUAGCCGGCCUGGGAGGGUGGACGGCGACAUUGGGACUGAGAUACGGCCCAGACUCCUACGGGAGGCAGUAGUGGGGAAUAUUGCACAAUGGGCGGAAGCCUGAUGCAGCAACGCCGCGUGCGGGAUGACGGCCUUCGGGUUGUAAACCGCUUUCGCCUGUGACGAAGCGUGAGUGACGGUAAUGGGUAAAGAAGCACCGGCUAACUACGUG